ACAAGCAGCGGAGCGUGUGGUUUAAUUCGAGGCUUACACGAAGAACCUUACCAGGGUUUGACAUGCAAGUGGUAGGAAUCCGAAAGGUGACCGACCCUUCGGGGAGCUUGCACAGGUGGUGCAUGGUUGUCGGUCAGCUCGUGUCGUGAGAUGUUGGGUUAAGUCCCGCAACGAGCGUCAACCCUUAUCAUUAGUUGCUAACAUUCAGUUGAGAACUCUAAUGAGACUGCCAGUGAUAAACUGGAGGAAGGUGGGGAUGACGUCAAAUCAUCAUGCCCCUUAUGACCUGGGCUACACACGUGCUACAAUGGCCGGUACAAAGAGUUGCGAAACUGUGAAGUUAAGCUAAUCUCAUAAAGCCGGUCUCAGUUCGGAUUGUAGUCUGCAACUCGACUACAUGAAGUCGGAAUCGCUAGUAAUCGCGAAUCAGAAUGUCGCGGUGAAUACGUUCUCGAGUCUU
rnacentral:rRNA from 1 species